GGCAGUGGCAGAUAAUUAUGUUUGAUCCUUGAAGACUGGGGCUGACGAGGGUUCCCCGUGCGAAGUGGCUGAAUGUGGAUCAGCUGGAACUAAGACACUGGCUUAUGGCUUGUGCCAUCGAUAGGUGAAAAACCUCUUCGAUACCAAAAGGAAUAUUUUAAUAUUCCCUAACGCGGACACAGAGAUUUCGGCUCUUUGAAUCACUUGAGCGGCAAUUCCUUCGAACUUAGUUAGAGCGCUCAACGAACUAACUAGAGUUCUCUUCUCCAACUAAGGAAUAACCUUCGUGGAAACGGUUCAGCCAUAGUUAGAAGCACUGUUUCCAUGAAGCGUUACGGCUUCUGUUAAGUCUCGUGUUCUCUGGACAGUCUUAGAAAAACCGGGGAAGUAUAUCAACCUGCACAGCGUUAUACCGAUAUCCGCGUCAGAUCUGCAGGGUGAAGUU
rnacentral:ncRNA from 1 species